ACAGCAGCAGCCGCGGUAAUACGUAGGUCCCGAGCGUUGUCCGGAUUUAUUGGGCGUAAAGCGAGCGCAGGCGGUUAGAUAAGUCUGAAGUUAAAGGCUGUGGCUUAACCAUAGUACGCUUUGGAAACUGUUUAACUUGAGUGCAGAAGGGGAGAGUGGAAUUCCAUGUGUAGCGGUGAAAUGCGUAGAUAUAUGGAGGAACACCGGUGGCAAAAGCGGCUCUCUGGUCUGUAACUGACGCUGAGGCUCGAAAGCGUGGGGAGCAAACAGGAUUAGAUACCCCUGUAGUCCCUGUCUCUUAUACA
rnacentral:rRNA from 1 species